CCCUAGCCCAGAUGGAAGCGGCAUCCUUUUUCUGGCUCCUUUAGCCAGGAAAAGAUAUAGCGGACAGCUGGAAAUAGC
rnacentral:sRNA from 1 species